rnacentral:rRNA from 1 species
UGCCAGCAGCCGCGGUAAUACGGAGGGGGCUAGCGUUGUUCGGAAUUACUGGGCGUAAAGCGCGCGUAGGCGGGCUGGUCAGUUGGGGGUGAAAUCCCGAGGCUCAACCUCGGAACUGCCCUCAAUACUACCAGUCUCGAGUUCGGGAGAGGUGAGUGGAAUUCCUAGUGUAGAGGUGAAAUUCGUAGAUAUCUGAAGGAACAUCAGUGGCGAAGGCGGCUCACUGGCUCGAUACUGACGCUGAGAUGCGAAAGCGUGGGGAGCAAACAGGAUUAGAUA